GGGCCCGCACAAGCGGUGGAGUAUGUGGUUUAAUUCGAUGCAACGCGAAGAACCUUACCAGGGUUUGACAUCCUGCGAAUCUCUUGGAAACGAGAGAGUGCCUUCGGGAACGCAGUGACAGGUGGUGCAUGGCUGUCGUCAGCUCGUGUCGUGAGAUGUUGGGUUAAGUCCCGCAACGAGCGCAACCCACGUCUUUAGUUGCCAGCAUUUAGUUGGGCACUCUAGAGAGACCGCCGGUGAUAAACCGGAGGAAGGUGUGGAUGACGUCAAGUCAUCAUGCCCCUUACAUCCUGGGCUACACACGUACUACAAUGCUACGGACAAAGGGCAGCAAAGUUCGCGAGGACAAGCAAAAUCCCAUAAACCGUGGCUCAGUUCAGAUCGUAGGCUGCAACUCGCCUACGUG
rnacentral:rRNA from 1 species